CCUACGGGAGGCAGCAGUGAGGAAUAUUGGUCAAUGGCCGGAAGGCUGAACCAGCCAUGCCGCGUGAAGGUCAGUGCCCUAUGGGCGUUAAACUUCUUUUGUGCGGGAGCAAUAAUGGUCACGUGUGGCCAGACGAGAGUACCGUACGAAUAAGCAUCGGCGAACUCCGUGCCAGCAGCCGCGGUAAUACGGGGGAUGCGAGCGUUAUCCGGAUUUAUUGGGGUUAAAGGGUGCGUAGGCUGUGAGGUAAGUCAGCGGUGAAAUGCCGCCGCUCAACGGGGUGAAGUGCCAUUGAUACUGGCUUGCUGGAAUGCGGAUGCCGUGGGAGGAAUGUGUGGUGUAGCGGUGAAAUGCAUAGAUAUCACACAGAACACCGAUUGCGAAGGCAUCUCACGAAUCCGCGAUUGACGCUGAUGCACGAAAGCGUGGGUAUCAAACAGGAUUAGAUACCCCUGUAGUC
rnacentral:rRNA from 1 species